rnacentral:rRNA from 2 species
GAUGAACGCUGGCGGCGUGCCUAAUACAUGCAAGUCGAACGAGUUCUGAUUAUUGAAAGGUGCUUGCAUCUUGAUUUAAUUUUGAACGAGUGGCGGACGGGUGAGUAACACGUGGGUAACCUGCCCUUAAGUGGGGGAUAACAUUUGGAAACAGAUGCUAAUACCGCAUAAAUCCAAAAACCGCAUGGUUCUUGGCUGAAAGAUGGCGUAAGCUAUCGCUUUUGGAUGGACCCGCGGCGUAUUAGCUAGUUGGUGAGGUAACGGCUCACCAAGGCAAUGAUACGUAGCCGAACUGAGAGGUUGAUCGGCCACAUUGGGACUGAGACACGGCCCAAACUCCUACGGGAGGCAGCAGUAGGGAAUCUUCCACAAUGGACGCAAGUCUGAUGGAGCAACGCCGCGUGAGUGAAGAAGGCUUUCGGGUCGUAAAACUCUGUUGUUGGAGAAGAAUGGUCGGCAGAGUAACUGUUGUCGGCGUGACGGUAUCCAACCAGAAAGCCACGGCUAACUACGUGCCAGCAGCCGCGGUAAUACGUAGGUGGCAAGCGCUAUCCGGAUUUAUUGGGCGUAAAGCGAGCGCAGGCGGUUUUUUAAGUCUGAUGUGAAAGCCCUCGGCUUAACCGAGGAAGUGCAUCGGAAACUGGGAAACUUGAGUGCAGAAGAGGACAGUGGAACUCCAUGUGUAGCGGUGAAAUGCGUAGAUAUAUGGAAGAACACCAGUGGCGAAGGCGGCUGUCUGGUCUGUAACUGACGCUGAGGCUCGAAAGCAUGGGUAGCGAACAGGAUUAGAUACCCUGGUAGUCCAUGCCGUAAACGAUGAAUGCUAGGUGUUGGAGGGUUUCCGCCCUUCAGUGCCGCAGCUAACGCAUUAAGCAUUCCGCCUGGGGAGUACGACCGCAAGGUUGAAACUCAAAGGAAUUGACGGGGGCCCGCACAAGCGGUGGAGCAUGUGGUUUAAUUCGAAGCAACGCGAAGAACCUUACCAGGUCUUGACAUCUUUUGAUCACCUGAGAGAUCAGGUUUCCCCUUCGGGGGCAAAAUGACAGGUGGUGCAUGGUUGUCGUCAGCUCGUGUCGUGAGAUGUUGGGUUAAGUCCCGCAACGAGCGCAACCCUUAUGACUAGUUGCCAGCAUCUAGUUGGGCACUCUAGUAAGACUGCCGGUGACAAACCGGAGGAAGGUGGGGAUGACGUCAAAUCAUCAUGCCCCUUAUGACCUGGGCUACACACGUGCUACAAUGGAUGGUACAACGAGUUGCGAGACCGCGAGGUCAAGCUAAUCUCUUAAAGCCAUUCUCAGUUCGGACUGUAGGCUGCAACUCGCCUACACGAAGUCGGAAUCGCUAGUAAUCGCGGAUCAGCACGCCGCGGUGAAUACGUUCCCGGGCCUUGUACACACCGCCCGUCACACCAUGAGAGUUUGUAACACCCGAAGCCGGUGGCGUAACCCUUUUAGGGAGCGAGCCGUCUAAGGUGGGACAAAUGAUUAGGGUG